rnacentral:rRNA from 1 species
CGAACGGGUGAGUAACACGUGGGUGACCUGCCCUCCACUCUGGGAUAAGCCUUGGAAACGGGGUCUAAUACCGGAUAUGACCACAUGUCGCAUGGUGUGUGGUGGAAAGCGUUUAGUGGUGGGGGAUGGGCCCGCGGCCUAUCAGCUUGUUGGUGGGGUGAUGGCCUACCAAGGCGACGACGGGUAGCCGGCCUGAGAGGGUGAUCGGCCACACUGGGACUGAGACACGGCCCAG